GAGGUCCCCAGUUCAAAUCUGAUUGGCCGCUUAGGACUUGGCAGAUUUUGAAUCACAAUAGAACUUUAGAACUUUUUUUUUAAAGGGAAGAUGUUGUUGUUUGAUAGUCUCAAAAUUUUGGAUCUAAUUUCAUGUAUGGAGUUUUGAGCUGCUUGAUGUGUGGGGGGAUAGCUCAGUGGUAGAGCAUUUGACUGCAGAUCAAGAGGUCCCCAGUUCAAAUCUGGGUGCCCCCUUAGUACUUUGCAGAUUUGGAGUUACCAUA
rnacentral:lncRNA from 12 species